rnacentral:rRNA from 1 species
UAAUACGGAGGAUCCAAGCGUUAUCCGGAUUCAUUGGGUUUAAAGGGUGCGUAGGCGGAAUAGUAAGUCAGUGGUGAAAUCCUGUCGCUUAACGACAGAACUGCCAUUGAUACUGCUAAUCUUGAGUACAUUUGAAGUGGGCGGAAUGUGUAGUGUAGUGGUGAAAUACUUAGAUAUUACACAGAACACCGAUUGCGAAGGCAGCUCACUAAACUGUAACUGACGCUGAGGCACGAAAGCGUGGGGAUCAAACAGGAUUAGAUACCCUGGUAGUCCACGCUGUAAACGUUGAUAACUCGUUGUUGGCGAUAUACUGUCAGCGACUAAGCGAAAGUGAUAAGUUAUCCACCUGGGGAGUACGGUCGCAAGAUUG